UAAUACCAUAUAAUCGUCUUCGGACCAAAGAUUUAUCGCCCUGAGAUAAGCCCGCGUAGGAUUAGCUAGUUGGUGGGGUAAAGGCUCACCAAGGCGACGAUCCUUAGCUGGUCUGAGAGGAUGAUCAGCCACACUGGGACUGAGACACGGCCCAGACUCCUACGGGAGGCAGCAGUGGGAAUAUUGGACAAUGGGCGAAAGCCUGAUCCAGCAAUGCCGCGUGAGUGAUGAAGGCCUUCGGGUUGUAAAGCUCUUUUACUCGGGACGAUAAUGACGGUACCGAGAGAAUAAGCCCCGGCUAACUCCGUG
rnacentral:rRNA from 1 species